UGAGGAAUAUUGCACAAUGGGGGGAACCCGUGAUGCAGCAAUGCCGCGUGUGUGAAGAAGGCCUGAGGGUUGUAAAGCACUUUCAAUUGUGAGGAAAAGCAGAAGGCCAAUACCCUUCUGUCUUGACGUUAACUUUAGAAGAAGCACCGGCUAACUCCGUGCCAGCAGCCGCGGUAAUACGGAGGGUGCAAGCGUUAUUCGGAAUCACUGGGCGUAAAGGACGCGUAGGCGGGAUGCCAAGUCUGAUGUGAAAUCCUAUGGCUUAACCAUAGAACUGCAUUGGAAACUGGUGACCUAGAGUAUGGGAGGGGGAGAUGGAAUUAGUGGUGUAGGGGUAAAAUCCGUAGAUAUCACUAGGAAUACCGAAAGCGAAGGCGAUCUCCUGGAACAAUACUGACGCUAAGGCGUGAAAGCGUGGGGAGCAAACG
rnacentral:rRNA from 1 species